AGUGUGGAGGAAACAGCUGAGGUUUCAAAGACAUUUAAUGAGAAAAUUAGAAACCAUUGUGACAUGACGCUGCUUUCAUGUGCCUAUGCUGGGACUGGAAACGUUCUCAAGGUACAACACUUUCUUGGUCAAUGUGCACAGCAUCUUGAGAAGGGAGAAACAUACCAGGGACCUGCCGUACUUGGAAUUGCUAUGGUAGCAAUGGCUG